rnacentral:rRNA from 1 species
UACGGGGGGGGCAAGCGUUGUUCGGAAUUACUGGGCGUAAAGGGUUUGUAGGUGGCUUGCUAAGUCAGACGUGAAAUCCCUCAGCUUAACUGGGGAACUGCGUCUGAGACUGGCAAGCUCGAGUGCAGGAGAGGAACGCGGAAUUCCAGGUGUAGCGGUGAAAUGCGUAGAGAUCUGGAGGAACACCGAUGGCGAAGGCAGCCUUCUGGGCCAACACUGACGCUCAUGCACGAAAGCGUGGGGAGCAAACAGG